rnacentral:lncRNA from 1 species
AAUAUUUAGAGUCCACAGUCCAAAGAAUCAAAAGUGAUGUACAGUAAGCCGGGCGCGUCGACAAUCCGUCCACACCGAUGCGACUCGUAAGUGGCCCUCGAAGUCGGCGCCUCGACGUCGGCGGCUGGCUUGCACGGCGCCUGGCGGUGUUCGGUGUCGGGACGUGAUGUUGGCCGCCUGUUUGCCCGGGAGUUGCUCGGCGUUCAUUUAUCGUCCCCGGAGCAGACUGGUGAAGUGUCGGAUCGGCUCGUUUUUAUAAACCUCUCGAGGCAUUGUAAACGGCG